UGUAACAUGUGUCCUUACGUUACUAUGACACACCCCUUACAGCACUGUUCCUGCCUUUUGUUCACACAGGACAUGCUCCAGGAAUGCUUCUAGGCCCCUAUUCCAGGACUGAAGGAUGAAUUCCAGAACGUGUUUGCAUUCAGACAUAAAGCCAUUUCCCGGGAUCAACAUGCAAAAGGGAUUAUAUGAUAUCUGAGGAAGCACUUGCUGUCUGCUGGAGGAGGCUGAUGUGGUGCUGAUGCCAGUGGAGGUUGAGGUGGUGCUGGUGACACUGGCACUGGAGGCCACACUGACCUGCUCCUUCUCCAUGGGGAGCCUCCACCUGCCUGUGUUCGAUCCACCGCGGCCCAAACCUUCACACUCCCCACCAGCUUAGACAGAAAGAGAAGAAACUUAUAGUCACAGUUUGAGGCACAGACUACACCAAAGCACAGAGGUGGAAAAAAUACAGCAUGAAUUAGCAUUCCUAAAGCAAUCACGUGACUGCACUUCACCAACAGGCUGUCUUGGAUUCGGCAUGAUCCACCCCUUGCUCCUCCCUUCCCUUGAGCUUCUCUCUUGUUUCACUUUUUCUCAUUGAAACCCUUCACAGGGUUGUGUUAGACAGAGACUGCUGA